AUUUUUAUUACGUCUUCGAUUUGUUAGCGUUUGCGCCUUAAACAUCUCUCUCUCUCCCUCUCUCUCUCUCUCUCUCUCUCUCUCAUAUUCCGAAAUGGAGCCGGUAGCUUCAGCUGUGGAUAAACUCAAAGAAUUUGCGAAAUCAACUCAAGAUUUCGCAAACGGUGUCGUCUCCCACUGGACCGGCAAUCCCAAUCGCCGCAAUCCGAUUGAAAUCUUGAAGCGGUUGCAACGAGAAGCAUUUUCAGAUCUCAUGAAACUCAGGGACAGACAAGACAAGGUGGAGCGAAUUCUUUCGUUCUACAAGUCUUCAAAAGGAAGCCCAUUCCAAGAAGCUAGUACCCAUGUAAGGGGAGAGGUUGAUGUCUUGGGUGCUUUAUUGUUUAUGGAUAAUGAUAGCCAGCAGAAUUUUAGUGCAAUAAGGAGAGCUGGAAUGAGGACGGGUGUUCAUUCAAGGUUGACUUUUGAAACCACCAUUCGGGAGAAAGACACUCUAGUUACAGAGUUUGUAUCUAAUGUAACAGGCCACGAUGAUGUUUUAGGUAGCCCCCUUUCCCUGGCGAAAGUGUUAUAUGCUGCAAAUAUUAGUGACUGGUUCUCUGUGGCUGCUAUUCCAGUGGGAGCUCAUUGCCGAGAUGUUGGAAUUUCUACGAAUUCUCUUCAUCAGAAAAAGGCCCUUACCAAUUACUCAUCAUUGGGACCACCUCUGUUGAAUCUAUGUAAUGGUAGUGCCAUUGGAUUGAUGGUGAGAAAAUCAAACAUCGUUGCUUCUUUGGCUCAAUUUGUCAGUGGACUAGGAAUGCAGCCCGGUUCAGUCGGAUUCUCGCAGUGUUUCAGCACUUUUGGGCAAGUUGUCUGUCAACUUUCAAGAAGUACAAAGCUCUCGCUUCUGGGUAUUCACCAAGUGCCUAAAUUUUCCGGUCAAGAAGUCUGUCUAGGAGCCCUAGCUAUACCUGUUGGCAUUUUUAGACGUCAUAAUAUUUCUGAAAUGACCCGAGAGGCAUCUGCUCCCGUCAUUGGGGCACAAACAUCAGAAAAUGUACCGACAGGAUCUAUUGCCCUGAUGCUGGAGUCAGAGCUUGAUGAGAGCACUAGAAUUGGAGGUUGGUUCGAGAUGAAAAGAUAUAAUCCCAGACAUCUAGAGUGGGCUGUGUCAAUUGCUGAUACUCCUGACGAUGAAUUUGGAUGGGGUUUGAGUUUAGGUGGGUUGAUACAAGGUCCCAAAAGUUGGGACCAUUUUCAGGUUGAAACCUUUCUGAACUUCAACUUUGGAAAAAGAUUCAGCUUGCAGCCAGCUCUCAUAUAUGUGAUGGAUGGGUCUACCCAAUUUGCUUCCCUCAUGCUUCGGUCUAAUUGGUCCCUGUAAUCACUCUCUUGCGUUUCCCCUGUUAGAUGAUUAGGUUUACCAUUUCUUGGACACGUGGCCCCCACUAAUGCUAAUUUUUGUCUCUGCCACUUACAACAAAGGGAGUCCGGACUCUGUACAUCCCGUUGGUCCAUGUAAUUGAACCAAACACAUCUUCCUCUGGUGAUGUCUCAGAUGUGAAAGUCACUUCAUAGCUUAGCUUCUUAUUUUCCUUCGUGAACUGUAGUUUCUGCGGUAUCACUUUCACUUCCCAUCCGGGAGGCACUUCCACGGUUGCAGUGUAAACUGUUUCUUCACACACACCAACAUUUGUGGCUGUUCUCACAACUCUCCUGCUCUCUUUUCCCUUGAAAUUGGAUACUGCUAUUGACGGGUAGUUCAUGUCGGAGAUGUGAUCAGCACUUCGUUCCUUAGGUUACAUAAAGCUGUCUGGGAUUUCUACCACAAUCAGCUUUAUUUCAGGUAUGCCAUACCCGUAGUUACAGAAAAAAUGCAAGUAGUCAACUGUGUUGGUCUCAUAAAUUAAGCCCAGUUGCAGCGGUCCUGUUGUGGUUACUUGCCCUGCACCAUAAUCGUAAGGCGUGGCAACUGAUUCUGAAUCUGUUGUUAUUAGGCCCUUCAUGUUUUUGGUUUGACUAGCUGCGGAAAAGCUCAAAAGGUUGUCAUUUGUCAGUAGACUUGUAGAAUCAGCAUCUUUUCUGUUCAGCUGUUGUUGCAGAAUCAGUUUUUGCAAAUUUGUUUUGGAAACCUAGUUUGCUUGACGAAUUUGGAAACCUAACUACAAUAUUCCGAGAACUACUAGCGUAUGUGUUUUUAAAAAUUAUUGAAUUUUUUUCUGAAAGACAGAUUCAGCAUGUUGUUAUGUACUAACCUGUUGUCAUGAUAGCUGAUUUGAUAGCAGAGGGACUCCAAGAGGGAUACUGAGACUUUACUGCGGCAGCGAUUCCCGCAAUGUGUGGGCACGACAUGGAAGUUCUUGAGAGCAGAUAAAACAGCGGUGGGUCCUUGUUCUCGAGCGCCUCUAACGUGUCGUUUGCUGGCCAAGCUGCAAGAAUGUCAACUCCUGGUGCCGCAAUAUCAGGCCACGGGAAAACCCAAUUCAGAAAAGCCAAAUAACCAAUGAAUUCUCAGUUUAGAAGUCAAAAGCAAAGAUGGAAGAGGAAUCAAGAUGGUUUACUGCGUGCCUUGAGAAGUUGCUUUAGUUUGAAUGCAGGACCUCUAGAUGAGAAGGCGGCUACUAUAGGAGCUGGCUUAUAUUGUGUAACCGUAACCGUUGGAAGAAUCGUUGCAACUGGAUUCCUUCGGAAAUUUUCAAGAGAUUAAAGGUUAGUGGCAAAUUCCUUGAAACAAUGAACACAUUUUUUCUUUUAAAAAAUUGGCGACGAGUUUUUACGUGCUGGAAUGAAUGUAUAAGAGUAAUUCAGUGGCAUCAUCUUCAGUGAUUAUGGAAA